rnacentral:lncRNA from 1 species
CAUCUGCAUUUUUAAUAUGUUUCUUUAUUUUUGACAUUAACAUUCAUUUGCUUUAUCCUGGCAGAUGAAAGCCCAGAGGGUGCCCACGCCUCAUUGCUUUAACAUGUGCUGUUUCAGUUGCUGAGAAGAAUAUGAGGCAACAGAUUUUGGGGGAAAACACAAUUUCUGUCCAGCUGUAACAAAAGCAUUAACAUGAAGGAUCAUGUCCAGGUUAUCCAGCUUUUUGCGAAUAUGAACAAAUUACAUAUUGAUAUUUUCCAUCUUUUUGAGUACUAAAAUCCACAGAAAAGAACAAGAUUUUCUUCCAUGCACUCUCAUACCAACAGUUCUUUUUCACACAGGAUCAAUCUUUUCCUAAGAUCAGAGAACUCUAGAGUUGGACUAGACGUCUGAACAUCUUUCAUAGGAAAAGUAUCCAAUUUUGGCGAUGAGUCAGUGUGGAAAUAUAGCUUGAGAUCAAGAACAUAUGCUUUGACUCUGCUCUUUUGUCUU